rnacentral:rRNA from 1 species
AUGAUAAUUCCAAAGGUUAAUUUUUUGUGCUGGAACGUGAGAGGACUAAAUGACCCGGACAGACGUGCGACUGUGCACGAGACGAUCGCCUCCACCUCAUGCCACAUUGUCUGCCUUCAGGAGUCCAAGAUGGAAAACAUAGAUCAGUACAUAGCCUCCUACCUUGGCGGUAAUAGACUCCGGAGCUUUGCUCAGCGUCCAGCCACUGGAUCCAGAGGAGGCCUCCUCAUGCUCUGGGAUGAUAGUGUCGUUCGCAUUUCCGAUGUCCACAUCACUGAGUUCUGCCUUUCCGCAAUGGUCAACGUCAUUCAUUCCGAUACCCCUUUCAAGAUCACUAGUGUCUAUGGUACAACGGCCUCCAACAGAAAGGAUGAUUUCUUCAGUGAAUUGAUCGCUCAAAAACCCAUCAAUGGCACUAAAUGGAUUGUCAUGGGCGACUUCAACCAGAUUUACCGAGCUCGAGAUAAAAAUAAUAGGAACAUCAAUCGCAGCCGCCUCAACCGCUUCCGUACUACACUAGACUCUUGUGAACUAAAAGAGAUCCACUUCCAGAACAGACGCUUCACCUGGAGUAACGAGCGUCAGAACCCUACUUUGUGCAAGCUGGACUCGGUUUUCUGCAACGCCGACUGGGACAUGCAUUUUGAUUCUCAUGUGCUUCAUGCCAUUUCCUCUUUGCUCUCGGACCAUUGCCCCCUUCUCCUUGCCGAUGACAGGGGCCCGAAGCGACCAAGAUGCUUCAGAUUCGAGAAUUUUUGGUCCUGUAUCCCAGGCUUCUUUGACAUCGUCUCCAAGGCUUGGGAGGAGCCGUGUGCCCACACAGAGCCAUGCCAACGGCUUUUCCAUAAGCUCAAGCAAACGGGGCGACAUUUGUCUAAGUGGAGUAGCAGGCUUUUCUCCAAGGCAAAGUUGCAUCUUCAUGCGGCCCUCCUCGUCAUCCUUCGUCUUGACAUUGCCCAAGAGAUACGCGUCCUUUCGUUGGGAGAAAGGGAUCUUCGGGCUCGACUCAAGCGUCGUGUCGUCAGCCUAGCGGCGGUUGAGAGGGCGCGCAAAAAGCAAUGUGCUCGCAUUGCUAAUAUCAAGGAGGGGGAUGCC